GGCGAACGGGUGCGUAACACGUGGGGAAUCUGCCGAGAAGUGGGGGAUAGCUCGCCGAAAGGCGAAUUAAUACCGCAUAUGGUCAGUGAAGACAUCUUCACAACACCAAAGCCGGGGCAACCUGGCGCUUCUUGAUGACCCCGCGGCCUAUCAGCUAGUUGGUGAGGUAACGGCUCACCAAGGCUAUGACGGGUAGCUGGUCUGAGAGGACGACCAGUCACACUGGAACUGAGACACGGUCCAGACACCUACGGGUGGCAGCAGUUGAGAAUUUUUCUCAAUGGGGGAAACCCUGAAGGAGCGACGCCGCGUGGAGGAUGAAGGCUUUCGGGUUGUAAACUCCUGUCAUUUGAGAACAAGGUGCGUCGAUUAACUGUCGAUGUAUUGAUAGUAUCAGAAGAGGAAGAGACGGCUAACUCUGUGCCAGCCGCCGCGG
rnacentral:rRNA from 1 species